UCAAACCACAUGUUGAAAAUGGCAGAACCACCAGAUGGAAAAAUCCCAGGUGGGCAGAUCCACUUGCUAACUAGAACAACUUUAGGCUAGCCAAGGCUUGUUCCCACAGUGGUGGCUGCAGAGUUCCCAAGGGCCCAAGACCAUCUAGAAAGCCCCAUCUAAGAUCUCAGCUGACAGCCAGCAUCAACCACCAGACAUGUAAACAAGGAGCCUCAGAUGAUUCCAGCUCCAGCAUGCAGCCCCUCUAAAUGACCUUGAAUGAAGCAGAGUGACGGGGAUUUAAGAUACUUAUUUCCCUCCCAGAACAUGCAAGGAAGGAAAAAAACUACCUUGUACAUGUUAAGGAAGAGUAUAAGGAACAACCAAUCAUGGAGCUGUUCUACAUGGUCAGGUGUGGGCUUUUGAGUUUUUAUUUUCAUUUGUUGGCAUGACGAAAUAUAUAGGGGCGAAUCUGAACUCCCCACCAAAUAACCUAAGAUUCUUUCAUAUACAAUCUUGU